AUACGGAGGUUGCAAGCGUUAAUCGGAAUUACUGGGCGUAAAGCGUACGUAGGCGGUUCGUUAAGUUAGAUGUGAAAGCCCCGGGCUUAACCUGGGAACUGCAUUUAAAACUGGCGAACUAGAGUUGAGUAGAGGGGAGUGGAAUUUCAGGUGUAGCGGUGAAAUGCGUAGAGAUCUGAAGGAACACCAGUGGCGAAGGCGACUCCCUGGACUCGAACUGACGCUGAGGUACGAAAGCGUGGGUAGCAAACGGGAUUAGAUACCCUAGUAGUCC
rnacentral:rRNA from 1 species